GAUGAACGCUAGCGGCAGGCUUAAUACAUGCAAGUCGAGGGGCAGCAGGUUUGUAGCAAUACAGAUGCUGGCGACCGGCAAACGGGUGCGGAACACGUACAGAACCUUCCUUCGAGCGGGGAAUAGCCCAGAGAAAUUUGGAUUAAUACCCCAUAGCAUUAUGGAGUGGCAUCACUUUAUAAUUAAAGAUUUAUCACUUGAAGAUGGCUGUGCGGCUGAUUAGAUAGUUGGUGAGGUAACGGCUCACCAAGUCUACGAUCAGUAACUGGUGUGAGAGCACGACCAGUCACAC
rnacentral:rRNA from 1 species